CGAUGCAACGCGAAGAACCUUACCAAGGCUUGACAUACACCGGUAACGCCCAGAGAUGGUGCCCCUUGUGGUCGGUGGACAGGUGGUGCAUGGUUGUCGUCAGCUCGUGUCGUGAGAUGUUGGGUUAAGUCCCCGCAACGAGCGCAACCCUCGUCCUAUGUUGCCAGCGGGUCAUGCCGGGGACUCAUGGGAGACUGCCGGGGUCAACUCGGAGGAAGUGGGGAUGACGUCAAAUCAUCAUGCCCCUUAUGUCUUGGGCUUCACGCAUGCUACAAUGGCCGGUACAAAGGGCUGCGAUACCGCGAGGUGGAGCGAAUCCCAGAAAGCCAGUCUCAGUUCGGAUUGGGGUCUGCAACUCGACCCCAUGAAGUCGGAGUCGCUAGUAAUCGCAGAUCAGCAACGCUGCGGUGAAUACGUUCCCGGGGCUU
rnacentral:rRNA from 1 species